rnacentral:rRNA from 1 species
GACGAACGCUGGCGGCGUGCUUAACACAUGCAAGUCGAACGGAAAGACCCUGCUUUUGUGGGGUGCUCGAGUGGCGAACGGGUGAGUAACACGUGAGUAACCUGCCCUUGACUUUGGGAUAACUUCAGGAAACUGGGGCUAAUACCGGAUAGGAGCUCCUGCUGCAUGGUGGGGGUUGGAAAGUUUCGGCGGUUGGGGAUGGACUCGCGGCUUAUCAGCUUGUUGGUGGGGUAGUGGCUUACCAAGGCUUUGACGGGUAGCCGGCCUGAGAGGGUGACCGGGCCAAAUGGGGAUGGGGAACCGCCCCAGACUCUUCCGGGGGGAAGAAGUGGGGAAUAUUGCCCAAGGGGCGAAAGCCUAAGGCAGAACCGCCGGGGGGGGGAGGACGGCUUUCGGGUGGUAACCCGUUUCCGCUGGGAAGGAGCCUGGGGUGACGGUAAUGGUAAAGAAGCACCGGCUAACUACGUG